rnacentral:rRNA from 1 species
AUUGAACGCUGGCGGCAUGCUUUACACAUGCAAGUCGAACGGCAGCGCGGGCUUCGGCCUGGCGGCGAGUGGCGAACGGGUGAGUAAUAUAUCGGAACGUACCCAAGAGUGGGGGAUAACGUAGCGAAAGUUACGCUAAUACCGCAUACGAUCUAAGGAUGAAAGCAGGGGAUCGCAAGACCUUGUGCUCCUGGAGCGGCCGAUAUCUGAUUAGCUAGUUGGUGGGGUAAAGGCCUACCAAGGCAUCGAUCAGUAGCUGGUCUGAGAGGACGACCAGCCACACUGGGACUGAGACACGGCCCAGACUCCUACGGAGGCAGCAGUGGGGAAUUUUGGACAAUGGGGGCAACCCUGAUCCAGCAAUGCCGCGUGAGUGAAGAAGGCC